rnacentral:lncRNA from 1 species
AAGGUCUCCCAGGUAGCCGUCCAUUUCUUGUUCACCCUCUGUCCGGUACAAAAUGUCUCUUUGAUGCAUGGCCUCUGGAGACUACUUGGUUUCAAUCAGAAUCUAGGACUCAGUUUUAAGCACACACAUCGGUGGGUCAGGUAGUUCGACACUCUUCCGAGUCCCAGGCCAAAUCUCUGUCAUCCCCGUUACCAUGCCUGCUCCACUGCAAACAGCAGUCUCUGUCUCCCUAAGUUGGUUUACCCUCAGUAGGGAGCCACUAAGUGUCAAAAGAUAAACACCUCUUGAAUGUGUCUGGAAGUUUACCACCCAGGGCGUGGUGUGAACCCUGGCACCCUCCACCACUUGAAUAGCAAGAAUCCUGUUCUCCAGGUGGCACCAUAGAUUCUUUCUCUUUAGGAGUGAUUAAAUUCCAUCCAUCAGUCUAGUCUCGGUGUAUAACUUCCUCCAAACCAACAGCAGCCAGCAUACCUGAUGGAGUAAGAGCUGAAUCUUGCCACAGCCUUUCCAGAAAGCACUAGAUGAGCUCCUCAUGACCUCGGGAAGAAUAUGUUGAACUCUUUGCCCAGGUUCAGGGAAGAGAACUUUGUUGUAUUGAUCUGCCAAUUCAGAGACAGUCUGCCCUAUGACUCAGGAAAGGAAGCCUCGUCCCUUUUCAGAAGACACAACCCGAGGCCUCCUGGAAUAUUCUGAGACUAUCCUGUUCUCACGCUGAGAAGACUUAUGUCCCUGGUUGAAACAGGCCCCUGGGUUGGUAAUGUGUCAAGAAGCAACUUUUUAUGAUGACUGGCCCUGUCCAAAUUUAUUUGCAGAAACUCAAAAAGAUCAGAAGGAUGAGGACGAGAUGAGCCAACAGCCCCCAGCUGGGAGCUGCAGGAGGAGGAGGAAAUGGAUGAUGCGUGUCAGGAUUCUUUGGAUGAAAAGUAUUUGGCUCUUUCCAGUCACCAUGACUUGUCUGACUCCUGCCACCCUCCCGACAGUCCCACCAUCCCAUCUGAUGAGCAUGAAAUCUGCUCUCGUCUGGAUGGAGCCCGUGAGUACUCUAUUGGAAAGAGGACAAGCUCCGAAUGGUCUCCCAGGUAGCCUCCAUGUUCUUUGUGCUCACACCUCUGUCCGGGUACACAAAUGUCUCUUUGAUGGCAGGCCUUGGAGACCCAUCUUGGUUUCAAUCAGAAUCCAGGACUCAGUUUUAAGCACACACAUCGGGUGGGUCAGGUAGUUCGACACUCUUCCGAGUCCCAGGCCAAAUCUCUGUCAUCCCCGUUACCAUGCCUGCUCCACUGCAAACAGCAGUCUCUGUCUCCCCUAAGUUGGUUUACCCUCAGUAGGGAGCCAUCUAAGUGUCAAAAGAUAAACACCUCUUGAAUGUGUCUGGAAGUUUACCACCCAGGGCGUGGUGUGAACCCUGGCACCCUCCACCACUUGGAAUAGCAAGAAUCCUGUUCUCCAGGUGGCACCAUAGAUUCUUUCCUCUUUAGGAGUGAUUAAAUUCCAUCCAUCAGUCUAGUCUCGGUGUAGAACUUCCUCCAAACCAACAGCAGCCAGCAUACCUGAUGGAGUAAGAGCUGAAUCUUGCCACAGCCUUUCCAGAAAGCAACUAGAUGAGCUCCUCAUGACCCCGGGAAGAAUAUGUUGAACUCUUUGCCCAGGUUCAGGGAAGAGAACUUUGUUGUAUUGAUCUGCCAAUUCAGAGACAGUCUGCCCUAUGACUCAGGAAAGGAAGCCUCGUCCCUUUUCAGAAGACACAACCCGAGGCCUCCUGGAAUAUUCUGAGACUAUCCUGUUCUCACGCUGAGAAGACUUAUGUCCCUGUGUUGAAACAGGCCCCUGGGUUGGUAAUGUGUCAAGAAGCAACUUUUUAUGAUGAC